GACGAACGCUGGCGGCGUGCUUAACACAUGCAAGUCGAACGGAAAGGCCCUGCUUUUGUGGGGUGCUCGAGUGGCGAACGGGUGAGUAACACGUGAGUAACCUGCCCUUGACUUUGGGAUAACUUCAGGAAACUGGGGCUAAUACCGGAUAGGAUCUCCUGCUGCAUGGUGGUGGUUGGAAAGUUUCGGCGGUUGGGGAUGGACUCGCGGCUUAUCAGCUUGUUGGUGGGGUAGUGGCUUACCAAGGCUUUGACGGGUAGCCGGCCUGAGAGGGUGACCGGCCACAUUGGGACUGAGAUACGGCCCAGACUCCUACGGGAGGCAGCAGGGGGGAAUAUGGCACAAUGGGCGGAAGCCUGAUGCAGCAACGCCGCGUGCGGGAUGACGGCCUUCGGGUGGUAAACCGCUUUCGCAUGUGACGAAGCGUGAGUGACGGUAAUGGGUAAAGAAGCACCGGCUAACUACGUG
rnacentral:rRNA from 1 species